GGGACAGGAGAAAUCCCGGUUGAAUCUGCCGGCACCAUCCGGUAAGGCUAAAUACUCCCUAGAGACCGAUAGUGAACGAGUACCGUGAGGGAAAGGUGAAAAGUACCGUGAAUAACGGGGUGAAAAGAACCUGAAACCGUGCGCCUACAAGCGGUCGGAGUCCUGACUUUGUCAGGAUGACGGCGUGCCUUUUGCAUAAUGAGCCUACGAGUUACUCCUCACCGGCAAGGUUAAUCCUGUAAACAGGAGGAGCCGCAGCGAAAGCGAGUCCGAACAGGGCGUUAUAGUCGGUGGGGGUAGACGCGAAACUUAGUGAUCUACCCAUGGCCAGGUUGAAGCUCUGGUAAAACAGAGUGGAGGACCGAACCGAUAAGCGUUGAAAAGCUUCCGGAUGAGCUGUGGGUAGGGGUGAAAGGCCAAUCAAACUGAGAAAUAGCUCGUACUCCCCGAAAUGUUUUUAGGAACAGCGUCGGGAAUUGUAUGAUGGAGGUAGAGCUACCGAUAGGACUAGGGGGAGUCACAUCCUACCAAAUCCUGACGAACUCCGAAUGCCAUCAUAUAGAACCGGCAGUGAGGGCUUGGGUGCUAAGGUCCAAGUCCGAGAGGGAAAGAACCCAGACCUACCGCUAAGGUCCCAAAAUCCGCGCUAAGUUGAACAAAGGCGGUCCAGCUGCAGAGACAGCCAGGAGGUUAGCUUGGAAGCAGCUAUUCCUUUAAAGAGUGCGUAACAGCUCACUGGUCGAGCGGCAGGGCGUCGAUAAUAAUCGGGCAUCAAGUGCGGUACCGAAGCGAAGGAUCCCGAUUUAUCGGGAUGGUAGGGGAGCAUUCCAGCGACAGUGAAUCCGGAUGGUAAUGUCCGGUGGAGUUUCUGGAAAAGCAAAUGUAGGCAUAAGUAACGAUAAUGGAUGGGAACAACAUCCACACCGAAAGACCAAGGAUUCCUGAUCAACGCUAAUCGGAUCAGGGUCAGUCGGGACCUAAGGAUAACCCGAAGGGGGAUUCCGAUGGCAAAUGGGUUAAUAUUCCCAUACCGAACAUACAGGUGACGGGGUGACGGAGUGUUGAAAGACCCGCCCGGUGACGGAAUACCGGGUUAAAGGGUGUAGGUAUUUGGACUGUAGUAAAAUGCGCAGUCUUAGCCGAACCUGAUAGUACCAAGCGUCUUCGGACAAUUGGAUAGUGGUCCUAAGAGCUUCCAAGAAAAACCUCUAGCGCUAAGCGUAUGUUCGCCCGUACCGCAAACCGACACAGGUGGUUGGGGAGAGUAUCCCAAGGUGCUCGAGUGAAUCAUGGCUAAGGAACUCGGCAAAAUGGCCCUGUAACUUCGGGAGAAGGGGCGCCUCGCCUGACUUCGGUUAGGCAGGCCGCAGUGAAAAGGCCCAGGCGACUGUUUAUCAAAAACACAUGGCUUUGCGAAAUCGUAAGAUGAAGUAUAAGGCCUGACACCUGCCCGGUGCCGGAAGGUUAAGGGGGGACGUUAUCGUAAGAGAAGCGUUGAACUGAAGCCCCGGUAAACGGCGGCCGUAACUAUAACGGUCCUAAGGUAGCGAAAUUCCUUGUCGGGUAAGUUCCGACCUGCACGAAUGGUGUAACGAUCUGGGCACUGUCUCAGCCAUGAGCUCGGUGAAAUUGUAGUCGCGGUGAAGAUGCCGCGUACCCGCAACGGGACGGAAAGACCCCAUGAACCUUUACUGCAACUUAACAUUGGCAUCGGGUACACGGUGUGUAGGAUAGGCCGGAGGCUGUGAAUUGGCGUCGCUAGGCGUUGAGGAGCCACCGUUGAAAUACGGCCCUCUGUGUGCCUGGUGUCUAAUCCCCUCAAGUGGGAGACAUUGUUUGGUGGGUAGUUUGACUGGGGUGGUCGCCUCCAAAAGAGUAACGGAGGCUUCCAAAGGUUCCCUCAGCACGCUUGGUAACCGUGCGUGGAGUGCAAUAGCAUAAGGGAGCUUGACUGCAAGGCGUACAUGCCGAGCAGGGUGGAAACACGGGUAUAGUGAUCCGGCGGUACCGAAUGGAAGGGCCGUCGCUCAAAGGAUAAAAGG
rnacentral:rRNA from 1 species